UUGAAUUGUAAAAUGGAGAGUCGCUUUCGAGCACUCUUCUACAUUCUUUAUUCCUAAACACCUGUGAAUCGUUGCUGAGUUCGCUCAGUGGCACCAUUUAUACACACACUUUAUAGUUUUGAACGUAAAAAACAAAAAACAAAAAUA
rnacentral:misc_RNA from 1 species